AUUGAACGCUGGCGGCAGGCCUAACACAUGCAAGUCGAGCGAGCGGCGGACGGGUGAGUAAUGUCUGGGAAACUGCCUGAUGGAGGGGGAUAACUACUGGAAACGGUAGCUAAUACCGCAUACCAUCAGAUGUGCCCAGAUGGGAUUGGCUCGUAGGUGGGGUAACGGGUCACCUUGGCGACGAGCCCUAGCUGGUCUGAGAGGAUGAACAGCCACACUGGAACUGAGACACGGUCCAGACUCCUACGGGAGGCAGCGGUGGGGAAUAUUGCACAAGGGGCGCAAGCCUGAAGCAGCCAUGCAGCGUGUGUGAGGAAGGCCUGCGGGUUGUAAAGCAGUUUCAGCGGGGAGGCGUUAGCCGCAGAAGAAGCACCGGCUAACUCCGUGCCAGCAGCCGCGGUAAUAC
rnacentral:rRNA from 1 species